AUUGCUUCUCAGCCUUUUGGCUAAGAACAAGCGUAGUAUCUGUUCUUACCAGUUUAAUAUCUGAUACGUCCUCUAUGCGAGGACAAUGUAUUAAAUGGAUUUUUGGAGCAGGGAGUUGGAAUAGGUGCUUGCUCCGUCCGCGACACAUGUCAGCCUGGUAUUGCAGUACUUUCAGGAACGGUGCACCCCUC
ensembl:snRNA U2 U2 spliceosomal RNA